rnacentral:rRNA from 1 species
AUUGAACGCUCGCGGCAGGCCUAACACAUGCAAGUCGAACGAGUGGCGGACGGGUGAGUAAUGUCUGGGAAACUGCCUGAUGGAGGGGGAUAACUACUGGAAACGGUAGCUAAUACCGCAUACCAUCGGAUGUGCCCAGAUGGGAUUAGCUAGUAGGUGGGGUAAAGGCUCACCUAGGCGACGAUCCCUAGCUGGUCUGAGAGGAUGACCAGAAACACUGGAACUAAGACACGGUCCAGACUACGACGGGAGUCAGCAGUGGGGAAUAUUGGACAAUGGGCGCAAGCCUGAUACAGACAUGCCGCGUGUAUGAAGAAGGCCUUCGGGUUGUAAAGUACUUUCAGCGGGGAAGCGUUACCCGCAGAAGAAGCACCGGCUAACUCCGUGCCAGCAGCCGCGGUAAUUC